rnacentral:miRNA from 1 species
ACAGUAUUGAUAUGUGGGUGAC